UAUUGGUCUACCGCGUCUGAUCAAAAUUUAGGGUUUUUCUAAAGAUUUCUUUUCCGCCAUUCGAGUGAUGUGGUUGGUGAAGUCGACAAGCUUAAUCCGUUCCGAGGGUUUCGAUUGCGCCGGUUGAGAUUCUUCUUCAUCAGUGGAAACGCUUCCUCUUCUUUAUAAAUAUAGAUUGGAAUGGCAAAGGUCACAGAGGUGGCAGAGUUAGGCCAUACGUACGGUCUCCGGUGCCUCGACUCAGAUGGACGCCGGAGCUCCACCGGUGUUUCCUUAACGGUGUCGAUAUGCUUGGUGGCCAAAAUAGUACGUUUCUUUUCUCUUUCAAUCUUUCAAGAAAAAUAAAACCUUUUGUUACUUUGUUUUAUUCAAGUUUUUGAAGGAAAGCUUCACACUUUUUGCUAUUUUCUUUUGUGCACUUGCUACUUUGUUUCAUUUUUAUAUCUUUAAGUUUGAGUUUUUGGAUCAUUUUAAAAUAUAUUGGAUUUUGCUCAUUCUUUAUUUUCACCAUCUUAAAGAAUCACCCCUUAGCCAAGUGUUUUUGUGAUAGUUCUUCAGUUCAAGCGCCAAAACGGAUCGUGUUCUUUCUUCCUCUUCUCCUCUCAAUUAUUAUGUACUUUGUGUUUUUAAAAGACUAUUAAAGACUACUGAUUACUUCUUUAAUCUGCAGUUUGUGUAUGUUGUUAAUAACAAACUCUGUCCAUGAUUUUAGGUUAAAUAAAGGGUUAAAGAGACUUAGAAGAGUUGGUUCUAUAUACUAGAAAAUGUGUGUUUGCGUAUUAUGGCUCACACUUUUUGCUAAUUUGUUUCAUCCAUAUGUCUUCAAGUUUGGAUUUGUUGGGGAAUUCCUACAAAGUAUGAACAUUCUAUCAUUGUUUUUCUUCAUUAUCAUAAAGAAAUAUCUUGGGCAAGUUGGUGAACUUUUGCUACUUUGUUUCAUUCAUACAUAUUAAAUUUCGAAGAUUUUUGGAUAUUUCUUAAAAAGAUUGAAAAUUUCUCAUUAUUUUCUGACAUCAUCCGUCAAGAAUAGUUUUCAUCAAGUCUCUGAACCAAGCUCACAAGUCACACUUUUGCUAUUAUGUUUCAUGCUCUAUAAACUAUUAAAGUUACUCAUUACCUUUUUCAUGAAUAGUCAUCAUAAAGAAUCAUCAUAAUCACCUUUUUAAUCUUUUAAUACUACUUUGUUUAGUUUAGUUCUACUGAUUUUCAGAGCAGAUUUUUGUUUGCUUUUUCCUUAAAGCAACGUCCAGAGCACACUUUUAUUAUGAUCAGGAAACUCAAGCCGGCAAGAACUUUCUUAAAGUGCUAGGUGGGUCUUGGUCUGGCUCAUAUAGUCAUAUGUCUUCGUUUCCCCACCUCUGACUGUUGAGUUCCUUAGAAAAGCCAAAUUCAGUGAAAUUGAGACAAGCAAUGGAUGGUGCUCCUUCUCCUGCUCUAAUUGCUAUCAAAAGCUACAACAGGGUUUCACAUCUUUUACAUGCUCAAGAUGUAAUGAUGACAAUGCUAUUGGGGUGGUUAGCUUACGUAGGUAAUGUAUUCUCACAGUAAUUGCAGAGAUUGUUUCCUCAUCCAAUGCGUAUUGUCUCAACCUAAGCUUUACUAACAUCUUUUAACAAUGUCAUUGUAAAGGAUCGUCUACAGUAUUGUCAUCAUUACAUCUUUAACAUAUAGUAUGAGCUUAGAUAAAUAAAG